CGGUUUAAGAUGCAAACAGGAAGUCGAUUUUUUUUUGUCGCCAUUUUGUGGUUGGGGAAAACGAGGUGCUCCAGCAGAAGCCAACAACCAGCCAGGGAAAAGGCGAGCGCCUUUUGCGGACAAUAGUUUUGGGCGAAAAGUAUAAAAUACCCUAUUCAGGGUAUAUUCAGAAUGUCGAAGAUCUGUUUCAUCAACGAAUGUUUACACAGCAAAGCCAAGACUACUUUUAGGUGCGCUCACAGAAAAAGUGGCAAUCCUGUCGUGUUUUCCCCCAACAUCGACAUGACAGCGACCGAGGUCAGAUCGAGCCGUUCCAGUUCAAUUCCCGUCAGGACAGCGAUGUUACCGGUGACAGCCUGCCAGGCCCUUUCCCGGCAAAACUGCCCCCUUGACGGGACUUGGAGACAGUGGAUCCGCAACCUCGUUUUGCAACUGCAGUGUACAGAAAUGACAAAAUAAGAAGGCCAAUCGGAGGAGGAUGCCAUGAUUUGAAAUUGAAACAUUUGUUCACGGGAAGAGUCUGACAUGAAGACAUUUUGAUGGCUUUGUCGAGACCGCUGCUGGCCAUGUAUAAUCAUAAUAUGCCAAGUUGCAAUUCUUUAUACAGUGCAGUUCCAUUCAUGACUACGCCAAAUUCUUAAAAUAUUGACUUGUCACUUAUAAUUACCCCCCACCCCAAAAUAUGGAAAGCAAUAGUCCCCUCACAUUUUUAGCCACCAUUUUAAUGCUGACAUAUUUUGAAGGACUGACAUAGAAACAACAACAAAUGCUUCCUUCCCAUACGGUCGUAUGUCGUAGUCUAACAAGUAUUACGAAAGGGCUGCAAAGUGUCAUGUUGUUCCUCAACGUCUAUGAUGAAUAAAGGUCUUAGCACAGUUUUCUGCAUAUGGCUGGGCAUUAUUUGAUGAAGCUUUGCUUUGCAUCGGUGGCCUUUUUCCUUGCUGCGAUUCUGUGGUCUCGCAAAUUUUUCAGUGACUAUUGAAGUUUGCCUGAAGGGAGAUGCGGAGCCCAGGCCGAGGUCUAUGCCUGAGAGCUUGUAC